ncrna:unclassified sequences DTF805b RNA
AAGGCGACAUCCGAAAAACCUAAAAAAGAGUAGGAA